rnacentral:tRNA from 1 species
UGUAGCUCAGUCGGAUAGAGCGUGGGUCUCCGAAGCCCAAGGUCGUGGGUUCAAUUCCCGCCA